GACGAACGCUGGCGGCGUGCUUAACACAUGCAAGUCGAACGGAAAGGCCCUGCUUUUGUGGGGUGCUCGAGUGGCGAACGGGUGAGUAACACGUGAGUAACCUGCCCUUGACUUUGGGAUAACUUCAGGAAACUGGGGCUAAUACCGGAUAGGAGCUCCUGCUGCAUGGUGGGGGUUGGAAAGUUUCGGCGGUUGGGGAUGGACUCGCGGCUUAUCAGCUUGUUGGUGGGGUAGUGGCUUACCAAGGCUUUGACGGGUAGCCGGCCUGAGAGGGGGACCGGGCACAUUGGGACUGCGAUACGGCCCAGACUCCUACGGGAGGCAGCAGGGGGGAAUAUGGCACAAUGGGCGGAAGCCUGAUGCAGCAACGCCGCGUGCGGGAUGACGGCCUUGGGGUUGUAAACCGCUUUCGCCUGUGACGAAGCGUGAGUGACGGUAAUGGGUAAAGAAGCACCGGCUAACUACGUG
rnacentral:rRNA from 1 species